rfam:Angiostrongylus cantonensis strain Taiwan genome assembly, scaffold: ACAC_scaffold0002704
GGAGGUAUAGCUCAGUGAUAGAGCGCUCCCCUUGUAUGGGAGAGGGCUGGGGUUCUAUUCUUCAUACCUCCA